CGCCUCGGGGGCGCGGACCGCCGGCUCGGGGACGGCCGCGGGGGCAGGGCCCGACGACGCGCUGCGCUUCUCCCUGAGCCUCACCCCCGAGGCCGUGCUGCUCAUCCAGAGGCGCCACAUGGAGAAGCAGCUGCUGGCGCGGCCCCGGCGGCCGCUCCCCUCGCCCUCGGCCGACGCCAGGCGGCUGCUCGCCCCCUGCCCCCGGGCCACGGCCGCGGGUCUCUCGCGGCGCCCGGCUCCGCCCGGCGGCCUGCAGGCCCUCGACCUCGGGCCGCGGCCCGCCGACCUGCGCCCGGUGCUCAAGGUGUCGCUGCUCAACGAGCGGCACAAGUACGACGACGUGGAGUACGAGGAGGAGGCCGAGGUGGUGGACGAGGGCCUGGUCCGCAAGUGCACCGAGUGGCUGCGCGGCGUGGAGUCGGCGGCCGGUCGCGCCGGUCCCCUGGACGCGCUGCCGCACCUGAGCACGCUGUGACCCGAAGGACGGACGCCUCCCGAGGCCGGCUCCCGCCUCCUGGCACCUGUGAGCCAGGUGACGCUGCACGCCCACCUCCCUGCGCCUGGGAGCCAGGUGGGCUUCCUAGUCCCCGCCGCUGCCUCCUGGCCACACUGUGGCACCUGAGCACCUGUGUGCCAGGUGGGCCUGGUGGGACGAGAGGGUCUCACUCGACGCUCACCGCCCACCCCCUGGACGUGCUGCUCCACCCGGGCGCCCUAGGGGGAGACACAGACAGCCUCGCCGACCCCCAUGGCCCACCUCCUGCCCAGGCGCCUCCCCGCUCCCCAGCCGGACAGCCGACGCCCCUCCCUCUCCACACUGGUGGUCUCGACCCCACAAGUCUGCCUUCUGCACCAUCCUGGUGUCCUUGCCUCGUGGGGGUGUAAGCAGCGGUGAAAACGCCUCUCCGCCCUGGUCCCCUCAGGUUCGUUGAGGCCCUCUGCUGCGGAGUCCUCGGUAGGCGGGUGUCACUCUCUGCAGGUGCUGGGCCGGGGUGCCCCGGUCUGAACAGUGGGUGACAGCCACGAGGAGGGAUGGGGGACCAGGAGCGCGGGGUCUGUUGCACAACCGGACGUGGCGCUGCAUUUGUGAUUUUGUUUCUUCUCGAAAGAAGAGACGUUGCGGGUAUUGGAAAGCCUGAAAAUGGAAGGUAACCGAAUGUUCGAACUCGGAAGGCGAAGGGGCUAGCCCACCAGGAGCUAGCCCACCUGGUGGAUGGACGUAGUGAUGGCAACGGUGCCAUGCUCACGACACGACUCUCCGCGGGCUGCGUGCUCUGCGGGCCUCUCUGCCAGCCGCGGGCAAGUCUGCCCCACACACACUCUCACACACACGUACAUGCUCACAUGCUCACGGAUGCUUACCCUUACACUCACACACUUACACUUGCUCACGCAAUGCUCUCACGCACACUCUCUCCCACUCAUACACACACACACACUCACACUCACGCUCACACAUGCAUGUGCACAAACACACACACCAUGCCUACCCUCGCACAAACUCAUUUGCUUACAUGCUCACACACACCCUCACACACUUGCCCUCACACAUUCACACGAGUGCACACACAUGCUCACUCACGCUCACACACAUACGCACCCUUACACACAGUCAUACUCCUGCACACACACGUAUACAUACAGUGCCCUCACACUCACACGUACUCAUGCUUACAUGCAUACACACCCUCACACUCGCUCUCACACGCAUGCACACACUUUCUCACACAGCCUCACACACUUGCUCUCACACAGAUACACACUCACACACAGUCUCACACUCACACACACACACACACCCACACAGGUCUUCUCAAGCACAGCUGCAGGCGUUGUUUUCAGUGGCUGCGUUGAGGUGCGAGCGGGAGCGAGGGGCAGCUUCUGGUGAAAUUUGUUUGUAUUUGAAGCGCUGCUCACAAAAUACCUUUUGUGCUCCAGAAAGAAGGAGUAACCAGAGGAGAGGGGAAGAAUGCAGAAAGCUGUCCCCAGACGUGGAACAAAACGUCCUGGGCUGGAGGAGCGAUUCCUUUGAGGGAGAAAGCGGGGAGGGAGUUCCUGGGGGUCACGGGGUAGAUGUGUGCGUUUUCCGUACUUUUAAUCAGUGUGUGAAAAUCGUAGUGGCUUUGUACCGUGGUAUAUAGUGAUUUUAAAAAGAAGAAAAUUUCUAUUUAUUAUUUGAGUAAAGAGUAAAACUCCUCUGCCUUAUAGGAGACAUACCCUUCCCGGCUAACUCCAGGCUGAUUUCUAGAUCUUUCCUCCUUGGGUCAGAGUGUAUUUAACUCUAAGAUUGAGAAGGAAAAAAAGUGCUAUAAUCAGAUAAGGCUGAUUAUAGAAGAGUAAUGUAUUACCUCAAUUUUUGACUUAUUUUGUAAAAGUCAAUAACUACUUUAAUGUUUAUCUCGUUAGACUUUAACGUGUCAAGUCUUAAUUAUAUUUUCCAUUGAAGCCUUACAUUUUUGAAAACCGAUUUUCUAUUUUUCUCGUGGAGGUCUUUGCUCUAAUCUCUCUCCCUCCCUCUCUCCCUCUCUCUCUCUCUCUCUGUCUCUUUCUCUCUCUCUCUCUCUCUCUCUCUCUCUCGUGCUAGGCACAAAUUGAGUUAGACAGGAAGCACUGAGUUCCCUGGGAGCUAGAUCAGCCACCAGAUGAGUUGCCAGAACAAAAACCCUCCCCACUGAAUAGCUUUUCUUCUCUGACCCCUGUUUGAAUGCAGAGAGCUAGAUUGCUUUUAUUUAAAAUGAGCGUAUUAAUCCCAGAGAGGCAAAGUUAGCGACCGUGAGGAGGUGAAAUUGAGACUCAAGCCCUGUGAUGCUCUGGCUGCCCCACCUCCCCCACCCCAUGGCAUCUGCCGCUCCAGUCCUGGGGGAGGAGGUCCCCUCUGGACGUGCCCCAGCAGGUUGGGAGUGAACUGACUGUGAGGUCAAGGUGCGCAGCAUCAUAACAUGGUCUCUUUUGCACUGGGCCCGGGUUUCUGCCCAUCGUUCCAAUAGCAACAAGGUUUUUAAAGACUUUCCUAAAGUCGUUAACUUUGCUGAGCAUCUGUUCCUGUCUUCCUGUGUCUUCUGGGUCAUGUUGCUGUUACAGUGUGUAGGUCCCUCUCUUCCCCUGCAAGUCUAUCUCCAUGUCCCUGUCACUUUCUUUCUUUCCUUUCCUUUCCUCACCCUCUCUCUGUCUCUGGGUCCCCUCCCCAUCUCUCCCUCUUAGCUGGCCACAGGACGACACGAAGCACUUUUUCCUCGUUUGCAUUUGUGGGAUGGAGUUUUGUGUGCCUUGUUCUUUGGUCUGAAAAGCCGAUGAGUGGAACACGAAUGUUGCCCUGGUUGAUGACCCUUAAUAAAAAACGAGAAAGGUUCUGCGCAUGAUACGUGAUGUCUAUUCAUGCUGUUACUGUUUGAGAAGGUUUUCUAAGUCGCUAUGCUACAAUUUCUUAAUGUUUUGAAUAAAAGAGAAAUUCAUUG
ensembl:lncRNA